UAAAACAAUGGUUAACAGGAACAGCCGGGGGCAUUCGUAUCGCUGCGCGAGAGGUGAAAUUCGUGGACCGUAGCGAGACGUCCUACAGCGAAGGCAUUUGCCAAGAGUGUUUUCAUUAAUCAAGAACGAAAGUCAGAGGUUCGAAGGCGAUUAGAUACCGCUCUAGUUCUGACCGUAAACGAUGCCAACUGUCGAUCCGCUUGUGGAUUUUAUUCAUGAGCGGGGAGAUUUCCGGAAACGAAAGUUUUUCGGUUUCGGGGGAAGUAUGGUUGCAAAGCUGAAACUUAAAGGAAUUGACGGAAGGGCACCACCAGGAGUGGAGCUUGCGGCUUAAUUUGACUCAACACGGGAAAUCUCACCCGGCCAGUACAUCGUAAGGAUUGACAGACUGACAGCUCUUUCAUGAUUCGGUGAAUGGUGGUGCAUGGCCGUUCUUAGUUCGUGGAUUGAUUUGUCUGGUUUAUUCCGAUAACGAACGAGACUUUAACUAUUAAAUAGUGCGCAUGUUGCUUCGGCUGCGUGUGAUCACUUCUUAAAGGAAUUUGUGGUUUUCAACCUCAAGAAAUUGAGCAAUAACAGGUCUGUGAUGCCCUUAGAUGUUCGGGGCCGCACGCGUGCUACAAUGGUGGUAACAGCGUGAUUGUCCUUUUCCGACAGGAAUUGGCAAACAGUUGAGAUAUUAUUAUGGCUGGAAUUGAGUGUUGAAAUUUUCUCUCAUGAACGAGGAAUUCCAAGUAAAUGUGAGUCAUUAACUUGCAUUGAUUACGUCCCUGCCCUUUGUACACACCGCCCGUCGCUGCCCGGGACUGAGUUACUUCGAGAAAACUAGGGAUCGCUGGAGUUCGAUGUUUCGGCAUUGUCUUUGGUGAGAACUAGUUUAAUCGCAGUGGCUUGAACCGGG
rnacentral:rRNA from 1 species